GCUUAACGCGAAGAACCUUACCAAGGCUUGACAUAUACGAGAACGGGCCAGAAAUGGUCAACUCUUUGGACACUCGUAAACAGGUGGUGCAUGGUUGUCGUCAGCUCGUGUCGUGAGAUGUUCGGUUAAGUCCGGCAACGAGCGCAACCCUCGUUCUAUGUUGCCAGCACGUAAUGGUGGGAACUCAUGGGAUACUGCCGUGGUCAACACGGAGGAAGGUGGGGAUGACGUCAAAUCAUCAUGCCCCUUAUGUCUUGGGCUUCACGCAUGCUACAAUGGCCGGUACAAAGGGCUGCGAUACCGUAAGGUGGAGCGAAUCCCAAAAAGCCGGUCCCAGUUCGGAUUGAGGUCUGCAACUCGACCUCAUGAAGUCGGAGUCGCUAGUAAUCGCAGAUCAGCAACGCUGCGGUGAAUACGUUCCCGGGUCUUGUACACACCG
rnacentral:rRNA from 1 species